rnacentral:rRNA from 1 species
GACGAACGCUGGCGGCGUGCCUAAUACAUGCAAGUAGAACGCAGUUGCGAACGGGUGAGUAACGCGUAGGUAACUGCCUCAUAGCGGGGGAUAACUAUUGGAAACGAUAGCUAAUACCGCAUACUGUGAGAUGGACCUGCGUUGUAUUAGCAAGUUGGUGAUGUAAAGGCUCACCAAGGCGACGAUACAUAGCCGACCUGCGAGGGUGAACGGCAACAUUGCGACGUGGACAGGGCCCAGACUACUACGGAAGGUAGCAGUAGGGAAUCAUCGGAAAUGGACGGAAGUCUGACCGAGAAACGCCGCGUGAGGGAAGAAGGUUUUCGGAUCGUAAAGCUCUGUUGUUAGAGACGCGGUAACUAACCAGGAAAGGAAGGCUAACUACGUGCCAGCAGCCGAGGUAAUAC